GAUGAACGCUGGCGGCGUGCCUAAUACAUGCCAGUCGAGCGAACGGACGAGAAGCUUGCUUCUCUGAUGUUAGCGGCGGACGGGUGAGUAACACGUGGAUAACCUACCUAUAAGACUGGGAUAACUUCGGGAAACCGGAGCUAAUACCGGAUAAUAUUUUGAACCGCAUGGUUCAAAAGUGAAAGACGGUCUUGCUGUCACUUAUAGAUGGAUCCGCGCUGCAUUAGCUAGUUGGUAAGGUAACGGCUUACCAAGGCAACGAUGCAUAGCCAACCUGAGAGGGUGAUCGGCCACACUGGAACUGAGACACGGUCCAGACUCCUACGGGAGGCAGCAGUAGGGAAUCUUCCGCAAUGGGCGAAAGCCUGACGGAGCAACGCCGCGUGAGUGAUGAAGGUCUUCGGAUCGUAAAACUCUGUUAUUAGGGAAGAACAUAUGUGUAAGUAACUGUGCACAUCUUGACGGUACCUAAUCAGAAAGCCACGGCUAACUACGUG
rnacentral:rRNA from 1 species